GAUGAACGCUGGCGGCGUGCUUAACACAUGCAAGUCGAACGAUGAAGCCCAGCUUGCUGGGUGGAUUAGUGGCGAACGGGUGAGUAACACGUGAGUAACCUGCCCUUAACUCUGGGAUAGGCCUGGGAAACUGGGUCUAAUACCGGAUAGGAGCGUCCACCGCAUGGUGGGUGUUGGAAAGAUUUAUCGGUUUUGGAUGGACUCGCGGCCUAUCAGCUUGUUGGUGAGGUAAUGGCUCACCAAGGCGACGACGGGUAGCCGGCCUGAGAGGGUGACCGGCCACACUGGGACUGAGACACGGCCCAGACUCCUACGGUAGGCAGCAGUGGGGAAUAUUGCACAAUGGGCGCAAGCCUGAUGCAGCGACGCCGCGUGAGGGAUGACGGCCUUCGUGUUGUAAAACUCUUUCAGUAGGGAAGAAGCGAAAGUGACGUUACCUGCAGAAGAAGCACCGGCUAACUACGUG
rnacentral:rRNA from 1 species